rfam:Dipodomys ordii contig_83377, whole genome shotgun sequence.
CAUGUGGCUGUUUUCACAGCCACAAUUAAAUCAUGCUAAUGUCCAU